CCUACGGGAGUCAGCAGUAAGGAAUAUUGGUCAAUGGGCGCAAGCCUGAACCAGCCAUGCCGCGUGCAGGAAGACGGCCCUAUGGGUUGUAAACUGCUUUUGAACAAGAGAAAACCUCGGUACGUGUACCGAGCUGAUAGUAUUGUUAGAAUAAGCAUCGGCUAACUUCGUGCCAGCAGCCGCGGUAAGACGAAGGAUGCAAGCGUUAUCCGGAUUCAUUGGGUUUAAAGGGUGCGUAGGCGGCCUGAUAAGUCAGUGGUGAAAUCUCUCAGCUUAACUGAGAAACUGCCAUUGAUACUGUCGGGCUUGAGUACAGAUGAUGUGGGCGGAAUAUGACAUGUAGUGGUGAAAUACUUAGAUAUGUCAUAGAACACCGAUUGCGAAGGCAGCUCACAAAACUGUAACUGACGCUGAGGCACGAAAGUGCGGGGAUCAAACAGGAUUAGAUACCCUGGUAGUCCGCACCGUAAACGAUGAUUACUCGUUGUUGGCAAUAUGACCGUCAGCGACCAAGCGAAAGCGAUAAGAAUCCACCUGGGGAGUACGCCGGCAACGGUGAAACGUCAAAGAGUAGUAGACGAGAGAGNGCGACGGACGACACGAGGGAGGUUAGAGG
rnacentral:rRNA from 1 species